CUGACCUUUCACAAACACCCAAUCCUGAGAGGAGGGUUUUUAGAAGAAAAAAGUUUGACUGUAGUCCCUCAUCUGCUCACAGCUUCCUCUUAUGCCUGUUGCUAGGAUCUUGCAGAAAGUUAAAGGGGUGGCCUUUCUCAUCCUCAGCCAAUCAUGAAAUGUUUUUUUUUUUUUGCAGCUGAACAGAAAACCCUCUCUUGGUCUUUCUGAAGUGCUAUGAUCUGCCUUUCUCAGAGACCGUCUCUUGCUAAUUCCCCUGUUGCAAAUAUGUUUGUAAUUUACAGAAGACUGGAGAGAAGGAAUCUUCAAUAAAAGGAGAGAAAAAGUACAGAGUAACUGAAGAUUUGGGACCAGAUUUUCCCCAACAUGGCCACUGUCCCCUCUCCAGGUUGCCUCCUAGCAAGAAAUCAGUUUUACAGAAGCCGAAUCAAAUCCUCUUGCAGUCAUUCCUCUGGGUGCUCAUCUCAACUAAAAGAAACACAAGAGGCACUUUCCCUGAAUACAUCUCCAUAUCAAGGACUGUCAGCCAUAAUGGACCGCCGGUGGUGGAUGAACAUGCUUUCAAGAAACACCCUAGACACAAAGAGUCUCAGCUCUGCUGAAAGAGGGAUGAAGUAGAAUUUCAAAAAAGUUGUCAGCCCUUCAAGGCAAAACUACCCAAACACUCCUGUAGGACACCACCUCAUAAUGGGAGAAAGUUUUACCUCUAAUUAUUUUGCCAAGUCUUUGAAGGACUGAAUGACUUUCCAUUUGGAAAACUAGGCAAUAGUCCAAGAUUCCAACUGUGUACUUGGGUAAAAAAAAAUUGAUAUCA